rnacentral:rRNA from 1 species
UAAGCGGAGGAAAAGAAACCAACAGGGAUUGCCUCAGUACGGCGAGUGAAGCGGCAAAAGCUCAAAUUUGAAACCCUCGGGAUUGUAAUUUGAAGAUUUGGCAUUGGAGAAAGCUAACCCAAGUUGCUUGGAAUAGUACGUCAUAGAGGGUGACAACCCCGUCUGGCUAACCGUUCUCCAUGUAUUGCCUUAUCAAAGAGUCGAGUUGUUUGGGAAUGCAGCUCAAAGUGGGUGGUAAACUCCAUCUAAAGCUAAAUACUGGUGAGAGACCGAUAGCGAACAAGUACUGUGAAGGAAAGGUGAAAAGAACUUUGAAAAGAGAGUGAAAUAGUAUGUGAAAUUGUUGAUAGGGAAGGAAAUGAGUGGAGAGUGGCCGAGGUUUCAGCCGCCCCUCGUGGGCGGUGUACUGCCGACGCCGAGUCAUCGAUAGCGAGACGAGGGUUACAAAUGGGAGCGCCUUCGGGCGUUCUCCCCUAACCCUCCACACUGCCACCGACGACAUAAUCCACCCAUUUCACCCGUCUUGAAACACGGACC